rnacentral:rRNA from 1 species
CCUACGGGAGGCAGCAGUGGGGAAUAUUGCACAAUGGGGGAAACCCUGAUGCAGCGACGCCGCGUGAGUGAAGAAGUAUUUCGGUACGUACAGCUCUAUCAGCAGGGAAGAAAAUGACGGUACCUGACUAAGAAGCCCCGGCUAACUACGUGCCAGCAGCCGCGGUAAUACGUAGGGGGCAAGCGUUAUCCGGAUUUACUGGGUGUAAAGGGAGCGUAGACGGCAGCGCAAGUCUGGAGUGAAAUCCCAUGGCUUAACCAUGGAACUGCUUUGGAAACUGUGCAGCUAGAGUGCAGGAGAGGUAAGCGGAAUUCCUAGUGUAGCGGUGAAAUGCGUAGAUAUUAGGAGGAACACCAGUGGCGAAGGCGGCUUACUGGACUGUAACUGACGUUGAGGCUCGAAAGCGUGGGGAGCAAACAGGAUUAGAUACCCCGGUAGUC